UCUGUGAAGAAACAGGAGGAUAAGUUAAACCAAUGUUGAUCAAUGUUUUCCAAGUUUCCAUAUCGAACAGUUUAUUCUGUUAAUUAACCUGUCAACUAUGAUAAUUGGUUUUGAAUAAUACCACUGAGAUGGAAAUUGGUGAUUGAAAAAACAAAUGUUAUAAUUUACAAUAGUGAAGAUUGCAACAAGUUAACCAACUCGUUGAAACACAAACUGAAAAUCACCAUUUAAAUCUCAUGAAGCUGUUUUUAAUCAGAACGUGAACCUACGUCGCUGAACAUUGAAUCGACAGAAAGAAAAACAAAUAUUAAUAAUGAUAACAUCGUAUCGUAUCGUUUUUAAAUUAUAAACAGUGACGAUCGUGAAAAAUUGAGGUCAAUUCUCACUAUGUGAUCUUCCCUUUUCUUCCUUUUACCAAAUUAUUUCAUUCAUUUUUCUUUCUUUUUAAGGUCAAGUUGAAAGUGAAAAGCACGAAGACAAAAGCUGACUAAAUUGGAAAAUUUCUUACCAAACCGAAUGAGAUUAUUUUUACAUUGAAUUUUGCAGCAAAAUCAGUUAUUUUGUUGUUUCUUUUCAAUUCUGGUCACUUGGUUUUACUGUUAUUUUUACUUUAUAAAUCACAACUUUUAAUCUGCAGUCAAACAACCUAAAUAAAUCGUAAUAGAGCCUCAAAAAGGAGAUAGAAAGAACGAGAAUAAGCAGAUAGACAGUUAAUUUAUAAAUAUAUUUUACUCUGAUGCUAAUCAAUUUACUUGUUUUGACAAAUGUAAUAAGCUUGUAAGCCUGACUGGAAACAACAAACUGGUAAACUUGAUUUGCACUUGACCGUUAAAUUAUAUAAAAUAAUUGAAAUGAAAAGACAA